CUUAACGAAUUCGAGAAACAACAAGAUCCCCAAAUUUCCCCAUUUUCUUUUCUUAUCCCGCUCCAAAAACCAGAUCGAAAGAUGAACUCCACCUUCAUCAUCUUCUACAUAUUUUAACCUUUUACAUAUGUCUGUCUCUCGGCCUCCCCUUGCAAAACCAGAGAGCAAAACGAAAACUUUUACCUAAAUACCACCAUGAACCAGAGAAAGAAAGAUGAACCCAGCCCUCAAAAGUUCAUCUAAAACCUAAACACCAACACCACAUCAUCCCAACCUUCACCACCUCGAGAAACCCCCACCACCUUCUUCUUCUUCCUCCAUCUUCUUCUUCUUCACAGUCAAAAGUUGUGAUUCACCAGCAACGAGAUGGAAGUUCUAACAUAAAAAAAAAGUGAAGUAAAUCAUCUUCCUGGUGCAGAGGUUAAAAUCAAAACAACCAAUUUCGAUUGAGAACAAGAAUGGGUUUGUGGCUGUGUAGGUUUGUUGAGCUUAAUGGUGCAGGAAAUCAAGGUGAUGUUAUUUGAUGUUCUUUUAAACUGGAAUUGGAAUUGAGUAAUAAAUGUUAUGAAAUCCCUAGCUUACUUUUAGUUUUUGCUUAGUUUACUCGGAUUGGAGUCACUGAUUCAAACCAAUCAACAAGCAGAUGGUAUUCAUCCAUAACCACUGGGAGAAGCAAUUCUUCUCCCUCAACACCGAAGUUUAAUUUGAGAAAUGGUUUUUAUUUGAGUAACCGUUAUGAAUCAACCUCUGCAGCAGCAUCAGAUGCCACAGAUUCACCACCUGCUGAAAAGUUUGAGUACCAAGCAGAAGUUAGUCGUUUGAUGGAUCUCAUUGUUCACAGCUUGUAACAAAGAAGUAUUUUUCCAAGUGCUCAUCAGGUAUAUCAUCCAACAAUUUGUUUCGCGAAUAUGAAUUCAAGGUGCGUUGCUUGGCUCUGGCCCUACAAGUUACUGGCGUUGCUUGUCAUUAUGCCUUUCAAUCUCUCUCCUCAUUGCACCGUUUGCUAAAUCUACCAAGAUAAGUGGUUCUAAUAAGUAAUGAACAAAAUUCUUCACCUGUAAAAAAUGCAUUUUCAUCUCAAUACUACGUGGUGUUGGGACAUGACUUCUCAGUGGUAUUAAAAUUUCUUUAUGUCUAGGCGUCGAGGUUUUUUUGUCUUCUUUAAAUUAUGAGGGGACUAGGCAGUAGGAGCUAAAAUUAUGGAAUGUUUUAUUAUUUAUUAAGAAUCUGAAACCGUUUCCUUGAUUUUGUUGCAGGGAGGGUUCAUUGACCGGGAUGCUAGGGAUGCUGCUCAAGCUGAAGCUCUUGGAUUAGUUGAAGCGCCGCAAAGGAUUAAGAAGAAAAACUAUAGGAAUAUGAUUAUUGGAGGCGAUGGUACUAAUCUGCCAUAUCUGCUAUUUACAUUUUGAAUGUAGCCAAUAGUUUUAAGUAUCUUUAGCUUUUUACAAUUUGUGUGUUUCACUGUCAGUUUUAGUUUAAGCAUCUUUAACUUUAUAUCAUGGCAGGUUUAGUUUAAGUAUCUUUAGCAUUCAAAACCGUUGCAGUAAUGUUGGUAACUCAAGAACUGAGCACCAUGUGAAUUCACUUGUUUUUAACUGUUUAGCAUUCUUAUUCCAUCACAACAUGGUUCUCUACACCUAGUGUACAUCCAAUUAUAAUAUUAGCAUCCUCGAUCAAUUUUUUUUUAAUAAUAUUAGCAUCACAUAACUGACAGGUUUCCUGUCAAAUUCAUUA